AUAUUAAUAAGCGGAGGAAGAGAAACUAACAAGGAUUCCCUUAGUAACGGCGAGUGAAGCGGGAUGAGCUCAAAUUUGAAAUCUCACUGGUCUCCAGUGCGAAUUGUAGUUUCAAGGAACGUUUUCGGGGACGGCCUGGGUUCAAGUCCGUUGGAAAACGGCAUCAAAGAGGGUGAGAAUCCCGUUUUGAUCCGGAGUCCGUUCCUAUGUGAUACGUUUCCAAAGAGUCGGAUAGUUUGGGAUUGCUGUCCAGAAUGGGUGGUAAAUACCAUCUAAAGCUAAAUAUUGGCGAGAGACCGAUAGCGCACAAGUA
rnacentral:rRNA from 1 species